rnacentral:rRNA from 1 species
UACGGAGGAUGCAAGCGUUAUCCGGAAUGAUUGGGCGUAAAGCGUCCGCAGGCGGCAAUGUAAGUCUGCUGUCAAAGCGUCUGGCUCAACCAGAUAAAGGCAGUGGAAACUACAUAGCUAGAGUAAGGAAGGGGUAGAGGGAAUUCCUGGUGUAGCGGUGAAAUGCGUAGAGAUCAGGAAGAACACCGGUGGCGAAGGCGCUCUACUGGGCCACAACUGACGCUGAGGGACGAAAGCUAGGGGAGCGAAAGGG